GUGUUCUCGGCCCGUGGUGGACUGCCGAGGCCAUUACGGCGGCAGUAGAGGAAGUCCGGUGCGAAUCCGGCGCGGUCCCGCCACUGUGACCGGAUCCGAAGGGUCCGGGAGUCAGGAACUCUCGCCGCCGGUCACGUCGAUCC
rfam:Streptomyces venezuelae ATCC 10712 complete genome